UACGGAGGGGACUAGCGUUGUUCGGAAUUACUGGGCGUAAAGCGCACGUAGGCGGAUUUGUAAGUCAGGGGUGAAAUCCCGGGGCUCAACCUCGGAACUGCCUUUGAUACUGCAAAUCUCGAGUCCGGAAGAGGUGAGUGGAAUCCCUAGUGUAGAGGUGAAAUUCGUAGAUAUUAGGAAGAACACCAGUGGCGAAGGCGGCUCACUGGUCCGGUACUGACGCUGAGGUGCGAAAGCGUGGGGAGCAAACAGG
rnacentral:rRNA from 1 species